rnacentral:rRNA from 1 species
CCUACGGGGGGCUGCAGUAAGGAAUAUUGGUCAAUGGACGCAAGUCUGAACCAGCCAUGCCGCGUGGAGGAUGAAGGCGCUCUGCGUUGUAAACUUCUUUUAUGUAGGAAGAAAGGCAGUCAUUCCUGAUUGUUUGACGGUACUACAGGAAUAAGCACCGGCUAACUCCGUGCCAGCAGCCGCGGUAAUACGGAGGGUGCAAGCGUUAUCCGGAUUCACUGGGUUUAAAGGGUGCGUAGGCGGGUUUGUAAGUCAGUGGUGAAAGCCUGGAGCUU